rnacentral:tRNA from 1 species
GGUGGCUCAGUGGUAGAGCGUUUGCCUUGAACGCUGAGGCCCUGGGUUCGAUUCCUCAGCACCA